rfam:Gloeophyllum trabeum ATCC 11539 unplaced genomic scaffold GLOTRscaffold_00001, whole genome shotgun sequence.
GGAGAGGUGGCCGAGUGGUCUAAGGCGCUAGACUAAGGAUCUAGUCCAUUCGUGGGCGCGAGUUCGAAUCUCGCCCUCUUCA